AACGAACGCUGGCGGCAUGCCUAACACAUGCAAGUCGAACGAGACCUUCGGGUCUUGUGGCGCACGGGUGCGUAACGCGUGGGAACCUGCCCUUAGGUUAGGAAUAACUCCCCGAAAGGGGUGCUAAUACCGGAUAAUCUCUUCGGACCAAAGAUUUAUCGCUUUUGGAUGGGCCCGCGUUGGAUUAGCUAGUUGGUAGGGUAAAAGCCUAUCAAGGCGACGAUCCAUAGCUGGUCUGAGAGGAUGAUCAGCCACACUGGGACUGAGACACGGCCCAGACUCCUACGGGAGGCAGCAGUGGGGAAUAUUGGACAAUGGGCGAAAGCCUGAUCCAGCAAUGCCGCGUGAGUGAUGAAGGCCUGAGGGUUGUAAAGCUCUUUUACCCGGGAUGAUAAUGACAGUACCGGGAGAAUAAGCUCCGGCUAACUCCGUG
rnacentral:rRNA from 1 species